rnacentral:rRNA from 1 species
UACGAAGGGGGGCUAGCGUUGCUCGGAAUCACUGGGCGUAAAGCGCGCGUAGGCGGCUUUUUCAAGUCGAUUGUGAAAUCCCCCGGGGCUUUAACCUGGGAACUGCAGUCGAGACUGUCUAGCUAGAGUAUGGGAGAGGGAAGUGGAAUUUCAGGUGUAGCGGUGAAAUGCGUAGAUAUCGAGAGGAACACCUGCGGCGAAGGCGGGUUGCUGGGCCGACACUGACGCUGAUGCGCGAAAGCUAGGGGAGCGAACGGG